AUUGAACGCUGGCGGCAUGCUUUACACAUGCAAGUCGAACGGUAACAGGCCGCAAGGUGCUGACGAGUGGCGAACGGGUGAGUAAUGCAUCGGAACGUGCCCAGUCGUGGGGGAUAACGCAGCGAAAGUUGCGCUAAUACCGCAUACGAUCUAUGGAUGAAAGCGGGGGACCGUAAGGCCUCGCGCGAUUGGAGCGGCCGAUGUCAGAUUAGGUAGUUGGUGGGGUAAAGGCUCACCAAGCCGACGAUCUGUAGCUGGUCUGAGAGGACGACCAGCCACACUGGGACUGAGACACGGCCCAGACUCCUACGGGAGGCAGCAGCGGGGAAUUUUGGACAAUGGGCGCAAGCCUGAUCCAGCAAUGCCGCGUGCAGGAAGAAGGCCUUCGGGUUGUAAACUGCUUUUGUACGGAACGAAACGGCUCCCUCUAAUACAGGGGGCUCAUGACGGUACCGUAUGAAUAAGCACCGGCUAACUACGUGCCAGCCGCCGCCGUAAAAC
rnacentral:rRNA from 1 species